rnacentral:siRNA from 1 species
UCCAUGGGUUUAAUGGGCUAGCC